UUUUUCAGAUGGCUUAUCCAAAAAUGUUAUUCUAAAUAAUGCGCAGAGAUCUCAAUGUCAGAGGCAGACAAAGAGACACCGAGAGAGGUGGAAGAGGAAGGGGAAGAGAGGGCCACAAACUAAACAAGCCAUUUGGAAAACGAUCUUAUUAAUCUGACAUCAUAAUAAGUCAUUAAUCAAGUCGCAUUAACAAAACACUGACCAAUGGCCAAUGGCCAGUGGCCACCUGAAACUGAGGCCAUACCCAAACACGACUCUCGGAUCACCAUUCUCCAACAGCAGGAGCACAUGACACCAUUACCAGCACAGUCCAGCACUUGAGCUGCUUGAGGAGGAGUUGGAGAAGGAGGAGGAGAAGGGGAGCGGGUGCUGUCCGUACUCGAUCUCUGGCAGCAGCUUAAACAAAUUGAAUUCGCAUUGUUCGCGUAAUCACUGACCAUUUGUAAUCGGUGCACAGAAUAUGCUCACGUUUAUGUCACAAAAUCAAAUUAAUAAUUUUAUGCCAAGAUUUUUUCUCUGAA